rnacentral:rRNA from 1 species
CCUACUGGUGGCUGCAGUGAGGAAUAUUGGUCAAUGGCCGGAAGGCUGAACCAGCCAUGCCGCGUGAAGGUCAGUGCCCUAUGGGCGUUAAACUUCUUUUGUGCGGGAGCAAUAAUGGUCACGUGUGGCCAGACGAGAGUACCGUACGAAUAAGCAUCGGGUAACUCCGUGCCAGCAGCCGCGGUCAUACGGGGGGUGCCAGCGUUAUCCGGGUUUAUUUGGGUUAAAGGGGGAGUAGGCUGUGAGGUAAGUCAGCGGUGAAAUGCCCCCGCUCAACGGGGUGAAGUGCCAUUGAUACUGGCUUGCUGGAAUGCGGAUGACGUGGGAGGAAUGUGUGGUGUAGCGGUGAAAUGCAUAGAUAUCACACAGAACACCGAUUGCGAAGGCAUCUCACGAAUCCGCGAUUGACGCUGAUGCACGAAAGCGUGGGUAUCAAACAGGAUUAGAUACCCUUGUAGUC